CAAGGUUUCCGUAAGUGAACCUGCGGAAGGAUCAUUG
rnacentral:rRNA from 1 species